GCUCUUGUGGCGAAAUUGGUAGACGCGAAAGUCUCAAAAACUUUUGUCCAUUAGACGUACUGGUUCAAAUCCAGUCAAGAGCA
rnacentral:tRNA from 1 species